UACGUAGGGUGCAGGCGUUAAUCGGAAUUACUGGGCGUAAAGCGUGCGCAGGCGGCCUCUUAAGUCAGAUGUGAAAUCCCCGGGCUUAACCUGGGAACUGCGUUUGAAACUGGGAGGCUUGAGUGUGGAAGAGGGGGGUGGAAUUCCAGGUGUAGCAGUGAAAUGCGUAGAGAUCUGGAGGAACACCGAUGGCGAAGGCAGCCUUCUGGGCCAACACUGACGCUCAUGCACGAAAGCGUGGGGAGCAAACAGG
rnacentral:rRNA from 1 species